rnacentral:rRNA from 1 species
UAACGCUAGCGGCAGGCUAAUACAUGCAAGUCGAACGGUAACAGGUCCAGCAAUGGAUGCUGACGAGUGGCGCACGGGUGCGUAACACGUAUGCAAUCUACCCUUUAACUGGGGGAUAGCCCCGAGAAAUCGGGAUUAAUACCCCAUAAUAUUAUGAUGAGGCAUUUCAUUAUAAUUAAAGCUCCGGCGGUUUUGGAUGAGCAUGCGCGACAUUAGCUAGUUGGUGAGGUAACGGCUCACCAAGGCGACGAUGUCUAGGGGUUCUGAGAGGAUUCACCCCCACACUGGUACUGAGACACGGACCAGACUCCUACGGGAGGCAGCAGUAAGGAAUAUUGGUCAAUGGACGCAAGUCUGAACCAGCCAUGCCGCGUGAAGGAUGACGGCCCUACGGGUUGUAAACUUCUUUUGUACGGGAAAAAACCCCUGGUCGUGUACCGGGGCUGAUGGUACCGUAAGAAUAAGCAUCGGCUAACUCCGUGCCAGCAGCCGCGGUAAUACGGAGGAUGCAAGCGUUAUCCGGAUUCAUUGGGUUUAAAGGGUGCGCAGGCGGAAUGAUAAGUCAGUGGUGAAAUCCUACAGCUUAACUGUAGAACUGCCAUUGAUACUAUCGUUCUUGAGUACAUUUGAAGUGGGCGGAAUGUGUCAUGUAGCGGUGAAAUGCUUAGAUAUGACACAGAACACCGAUCGCGAAGGCAGCUCACUAAGUUGUAACUGACGCUCAGGCACGAAAGCGUGGGGAUCAAACAGGAUUAGAUACCCUGGUAGUCCACGCCGUAAACGAUGAUUACUCGAUGUUGGCGAUACACUGUCAGCGUCUAAGCG